GCCGACCAAAGGAGGGUGGGGUGCUGGUUUUGCCGCCCCACUCUUGGGUGUAGGUGUGGGUGCAUAAGGGUGCAUAGUUAGGCGCCUAUUCUAUCUCAAUUAGGAUUCUUUCUUAGAUAAGAAAUGGAAUAAUUCAAAGUUGAUUUGAAUUAGGACUCCUAGUCUAUUAGGUCAUGGAGAAUCAUCUAUAAAUAGGGAGGAACUCUAACCAUCAAUGCAUAACAAUUAGAUUGU
rnacentral:lncRNA from 1 species